rnacentral:rRNA from 1 species
GAUGAACGCUGGCGGCGUGCCUAAUACAUGCAAGUCGAGCGAACAGACGAGGAGCUUGCUCCUCUGACGUUAGCGGCGGACGGGUGAGUAACACGUGGAUAACCUACCUAUAAGACUGGGAUAACUUCGGGAAACCGGAGCUAAUAACGGAUAAUAUAUUGAACCGCAUGGAUCAAUAGUGAAAGACGGUUUUGCUGUCACUUUUAGAUGGUUCCGCGCCGCAUUAGCUAGUUGGUAAGGUAACGGCUUACCAAGGCGACGAUGCGUAGCCGACCUGAGAGGGUGAUCGGCCACACUGGAACUGAGACACGGUCCAGACUCCUACGGGAGGCAGCAGUAGGGAAUCUUCCGCAAUGGGCGAAAGCCUGACGGAGCAACGCCGCGUGAGUGAUGAAGGUCUUCGGAUCGUAAAACUCUGUUAUUAGGGAAGAACAAAUGUGUAAGUAACUAUGCACGUCUUGACGGUACCUAAUCAGAAAGCCACGGCUAACUACGUG